AAUGUGAACGUUACCAAACUGUUGCCUCGGCGGGAUCUCUGCCCCGGGUGCGUCGCAGCCCCGGACCAAGGCGCCCGCCGGAGGACCAACCAAAACUCUUAUUGUAUACCCCCUCGCGGGUUUUUUUAUAAUCUGAGCCUUCUCGGCGCCUCUCGUAGGCGUUUCGAAAAUGAAUCAAAACUUUCAACAACGGAUCUCUUGGUUCUGGCAUCGAUGAAGAACGCAGCGAAAUGCGAUAAGUAAUGUGAAUUGCAGAAUUCAGUGAAUCAUCGAAUCUUUGAACGCACAUUGCGCCCGCCAGUAUUCUGGCGGGCAUGCCUGUCCGAGCGUCAUUUCAACCCUCGAACCCCUCCGGGGGGUCGGCGUUGGGGAUCGGCCCUGCCUUGGCGGUGGCCGUCUCCGAAAUACAGUGGCGGUCUCGCCGCAGCCUCUCCUGCGCAGUAGUUUGCACACUCGCAUCGGGAGCGCGGCGCGUCCACAGCCGUUAAACACCCAACUUCUGAAAUGUUGACCUCGGAUCAGGUAGGAAUACCCGCUGAACUUAAGCAUAUCAAUAAGCGGAGGAAAAGAAACCAACAGGGAUUGCCCCAGUAACGGCGAGUGAAGCGGCAACAGCUCAAAUUUGAAAUCUGGUCCCUAGGGCCCGAGUUGUAAUUUGUAGAGGAUGCUUUUGGUGAGGUGCCGCCCGAGUUCCCUGGAACGGGACGCCACAGAGGGUGAGAGCCCCGUCUGGCUGGCCGCCGAGCCUCUGUAAAGCUCCUUCGACGAGUCGAGUAGUUUGGGAAUGCUGCUCAAAAUGGGAGGUAUAUGUCUUCUAAAGCUAAAUAUUGGCCAGAGACCGAUAGCGCACAAGUAGAGUGAUCGAAAGAUGAAAAGCACCUUGAAAAGAGGGUUAAAUAGUACGUGAAAUUGUUGAAAGGGAAGCGCUUGUGACCAGACUUGGGCGCGGCGGAUCAUCCGGGGUUCUCUCCGGUGCACUUCGCCGCGUCUAGGCCAGCAUCAGUUCGUCGCGGGGGGAAAAAGGCUUCGGGAACGUGGCUCCUUCCGGGAGUGUUAUAGCCCGUUGCAUAAUACCCUGGCGGUGGACUGAGGACCGCGCA
rnacentral:sRNA from 1 species